rnacentral:lncRNA from 1 species
UGUAAUUUUAAUUGGAAAGUUCAAAGAUUAAUUAAUGGGUUUGUGUUUGGCUUUUCACAGGGACAAGAAAAGAGACAAAGAAAAGAUCAAGGAAAAAGAAAAAGCCAAAGAAAAAGAGAAAGACAGAGACCGAGACAAGGAGAAGGAUAGGGACCGAGACAAAGACAGGGAAAGAGAGCGAGAUAAAGAGAGAAAUAGGGAGAAGGACAAGGAGAGAGAUAAAGAACGAAGCAAAGAUAGAGAGAGAGCCCGAGACAGGGACAAGGAUAAGGACAAAGAUAGGGACAGGGACAAGGACAGGGAAAAGGAGAGAGAUGAUAAAAAGAAGAAAGAUAAGAGAUCCAGAACACCCCCAAGAAGCUAUAGUUCUUCAAGAAGAUCUCGUAGCUCCAGCAGAGAAAGGCGUAAAAGGAAGAGUAGAAGUCCCUCCAAGUCUCCUAAAACAUCAAAAACUGCAAAAAGAAAGUCUUCACGAUCUCCUUCUCCAAGAAGGUCGGUUUGACGUAAACAGAAGUUAAUGAUUAGUAAAGAAGGAAGGAUUUAAGUGUUUUCACUGUUUUGC